rnacentral:rRNA from 1 species
AUUGAACGCUGGCGGCAGGCCUAACACAUGCAAGUCGAGCGAGCGGCGGACGGGUGAGUAAUGUAUGGGGAUCUGCCCGAUAGAGGGGGAUAACUACUCGAAAGAGUGGCUAAUACCGCAUACCAUCGGAUGUGCCCAGAUGGGAUUAGCUAGUAGGUGGGGUAAAGGCUCACCUAGGCGACGAUCCCUAGCUGGUCUGAGAGGAUGACCAGCCACACUGGAACUGAGACACGGUCCAGACUCCUACGGGAGGCAGCAGUGGGGAAUAUUGCACAAUGGGCGCAAGCCUGAUGCAGCCAUGCCGCGUGUAUGAAGAAGGCCUUCGGGUUGUAAAGUACUUUCAGCGGGGAGGCGUUACCCGCAGAAGAAGCACCGGCUAACUCCGUGCCAGCCGCCGCGGUAAUUC